GGUAGUCUGGUGGGUUCUGAACCCUCCUAAUGUGAUGGUGCUUUUCAACUGCAGUGGUGAUCUCAAUGAUAUCAUCUCCUCGAUUUGAAAUACGCUUACGGAGUAGGAGUCAGUAAAUGGCUGUAUAGUAAUUAUAGGUGACCGUGAAGGUAAUGUGUCUGCAGGGUGACUCUUGUCAUGUAUGGUGCGUGUCAGUGUGUCUGCCUGGUCCCUGAGUGGCGGCCCCUCCCACAGGACGGCUCUGUAGUGACCUGCUCCUUCACGCCGUGUGGCCAGAUGAUUCACAGUCACCACCUAUGGGGACAUGCAAGUGUGGGACCUGGAAGCCAACCAGCUCCAUGCUGCCAAGGAAGCCCAUGACCUAGGAGUGACUCGCUGCCAUUUCGCACCCCAGAUCCACAGCGAACUCAGCUUCCCUACUCUAUUCCCUGCAUCAGCAUCAAAGGUCAGCGAGUGUGCCAUUCAUGCUCAGAUGGACACCGCUGCCCCCUGCUGGCCAUGAACCCUCACCACUAAAGAUUCAUCUCAGGAGUUGCCAGAGACUGCUGUGGUGGGUCAGUAUGGUCUCUGUUGUGUGUUGCGGGUCUGUGCUUUGGGGGUGAUGUACAGUACCAUUUAAAAAUCUGGACACACCUACUAAAGACUUUUGUUUUUCAAAAAGAAAAUGACCUUUAGCAUGCUUCAAGGUUGUGUAAGUGCUGUAAUAUCCUGAGAAUAAGCAAAGAGACGGAGUGCUGUGACAGAUGACCCGACCCCCACAAUCCCCCGACCUAAACCCAAUAGAGCUGCUUUGGGAUGAGUUGGAUGGAAGAGUAAGAGCAAGGUAGCCAACCUGUGGCCAGAAGUUGUGAAAACUCCUUCAGGACUGUUGGAGAAGCUUUCCAGGAGGCUCCAUCUGGAGGCUGGUUGAAAGAGUUUGCAGUGCUAUUAUCGAAGUGAAAGGGAGGAAAUUUGAGGAGUCUAAAAUUUGAGAAGCUUUGGAGAUGUUCACUCUUGGUCAAUAUUUGGCAUGAAUGACUUCAUUGCCUCGAGGUUUUUUACUCCAAGGUAAGUAACAGAUAAAACAGAGACAAACAUAUUAAAGGCAGGUGUGUCCUGACUUUUGACUGGUACUGUUUGUAUGUGAGUAAUGGAGAGAUGUCAUACAUACUGACGGCAUGUUUGGGUUACCUUGAAUGUGAAGGUGUGCAGGGUGGCUUUCCGCCAUGCCUCCCAACAGCAGGGUCACUGUGAUGUCCGUCCGUCAUGUCGCCUGCUGACGAUGCUGCUCUUCUCCAGUGUCCUCGGUCUUAUGCCCAGAAUCGGGCAGCUUCACUCCGGUCAUUUGUGCUUCGAAGGGACAGUUUUCGGCUUAAUUUAAUCAAGUGAAUUUGCUGAUUAUCUGUUUCCCUUGUGGUCUGUCGUUUUCCUAAAAGCACAAUGGUGCCUGUAUAUCUGUGACCUUUCCUGUACUGUUCUUCUUUG